ACCAUCUUUUUCUUGGGGUUGCACUGCUAUCCAAAGAGGGCAUAGUGAGAGCGGUAUUGCUAAUAUCUACACAACUUGCGCACAUCACCUGGAGCUUUGCUUCACCUUGGUUUUGCUAUUUAUAUAAAU
rnacentral:ncRNA from 1 species